AAUUUUGGACAAUGGGGGAAACCCUGAUCCAGCCAUCCCGCGUGUGCGAUGAAGGCCUUCGGGUUGUAAAGCACUCUUGGCCGGGACGAAAAGGUUCUGGCUAAUACCCGGAACUGCUGACGUUUCCUGCAGAAUAAGCACCCGCUAACUACGUGCCACCAGCCGCGGUAAUCCGUAGGGUGCAAGCGUUAAUCGGAAUUACUGGUCGUAAAGCGUGCGCAGGCGGUUUGGCAAGAAGGAUGUGAAAUCCCAGGGCUUAACCUUGGAACUGCAUUCUUAACUGCCAGGCUAGAGUAUGUCAGAGGGGGGUAGAAUUCCGCGUGUAGCAGUGAAAUGCGUAGAGAUGCGGAGGAAUACCGAUGGCGAAGGCAGCCCCCUGGGAUAAUACUGACGCUCAUGCACGAAAGCGUGGGGAGCAAACA
rnacentral:rRNA from 1 species